rnacentral:snoRNA from 1 species
CUAUGAUUAAUAAACCUGAAAUAUAGCUGGAAUUACCGGCAGAUUGUAGGUGGUGAUAUUGGUUAUUCUGAGA